rnacentral:tRNA from 1 species
CCCUAAAUAGCUUAGUUGGGAGAGCGUUAGACUAUAGAUCGAAAAGUCCCUGGUGCGACCCCGGGUUCCGACA